UACGUAGGGUGCAAGCGUUGUCCGGAUUUAUUGGGCGUAAAGAGCUCGUAGGCGGCGUGUCGCGUCGAAAGUGAAAACCAUAGGCUUAACCUGUGGCUUGCUUUCGGUACGGGCAUGCUUGAGUGUGGUAGGGGAGUCUGGAAUUCCUGGUGUAGCGGUGAAAUGCGCAGAUAUCAGGAGGAACACCGGUGGCGAAGGCGGGACUCUGGGCCAUUACUGACGCUGAGGAGCGAAAGCGUGGGGAGCGAACAGG
rnacentral:rRNA from 1 species